GAUGAACGCUGGCGGCGUGCUUAACACAUGCAAGUCGAACGGGGAUUAUUUUGACAGAGACUUCGGUUGAAGUCGUUAUAAUCCUAGUGGCGGACGGGUGAGUAACGCGUGGGUAACCUGCCUCACACUGGGGGAUAACAGUCGGAAAUGACUGCUAAUACCGCAUAAGCGCACGGGAUUGCAUGAUCCAGUGUGAAAAACUCCGGUGGUGUGAGAUGGACCCGCGUUGGAUUAGCCAGUUGGCAGGGUAACGGCCUACCAAAGCGACGAUCCAUAGCCGGCCUGAGAGGGUGGACGGCCACAUUGGGACUGAGACACGGCCCAGACUCCUACGGGAGGCAGCAGUGGGGAAUAUUGCACAAUGGGGGAAACCCUGAUGCAGCGACGCCGCGUGAAGGAAGAAGUAUCUCGGUAUGUAAACUUCUAUCAGCAGGGAAGAAAAUGACG
rnacentral:rRNA from 1 species